AGAGGUGCAGGUGAGAGGGGCAGGUGAGGGGGGCAGUUGAGGGGGGCAGGUGAGGGGGGCAGGCGAGGGGGUUAUGUGCGAGUUACCACCGCGACGCGGGUGGUUCACGCAGUAUGUAUGUGAGUAGAACCGUUCGGAUAGCGGUUUACAGCAAAUCCACUGCUGGAUGAAUGCCUCCACUCGGCCGAGGCUUGUUUGACCAUACUUCAAGACUAUACGGGGAUCUCUAUACCGUAUGUGUAUCGAAUGUGUGAGUGAGUGAGUGAGUGUGACUGAAUGUGAGUGAGUGUGAAUGAGUGUAUAUUAACUGAGUGUGACUGAGUGUAUGUGACUGUGUGUGAGUGUGACUGAGUGUGAGUGAGUGUAUGUGACUGAGUGGCGAAAGCACAGCAAGUUGGCACAGUAGGGGGCACAGGUGGUGCAUCAGCCAGUCAUCUUGGUCAUCUCAGUCAGUCGACCCGUGGCACCUGGGUCUGCCCCGUGACCUCCUGCCAGCGGGCGUUCGACACUUCACGUGGCCUCAAGGAGGAAUCCGAUGAGCUCGGAAGCUCUUGUGUACAGAUGUCCAGUAGGGGCGGGUCACAGACACACGGCAGCAGCGCGAAGUUUUGCAAAGCAGCAGCAUUGGCACCACCAUCAUCACGAGCAGCGAUAGCCCCUCCCCUCGCCCCCCCCGCUGUCCGUCCCAGCCCCGCCCCCCCAGCAAGAGGAGGCGACGCUCCAUCUCGCGGGAGGGAGCAGCUGGAGACGCUGUCGGAGAGUCACCCGCGAGUGCCGGGGGGUACAGUGCGCCAGACAGCGCCCGUAAGAGCGAGACGGCAGCAGCAGCAUCAGCAGCAGCAGCAGGAGUAUCAUCAGCAGCAGCAGCAUCAUCAGCAGCAGCAACAGCAGCAAUAGCAAUGUUAGCAGCAACAACAGCAGCAACAGCAUCAGCAUCAUCAUCAGCAGCAUCAUCAUCAGCAUCAUGAGCAGCAGUAUCAUCAGCAGCAGCAUCAUCAUCAGCAGCAGCAAGAGGAGGAGGCUGCGGAGUUCGCGCGGGGGAGGUUUGGUCACGGGGGAGCGCACAGAAAUAGCGCUGACGUCAUUACCCUGCAGACGGCGGCGGGGGAGGGGGAAGGGGACCGGGAGGGGGGAGGGGCCGUGGGGGGUGGUGCACGGGGGGGGGGUCGCAGGAUGGAGAUGAAAGCGCAGCGCGUCUCCCUCGUAUCGCCCUCGCCUCCCCACUCUCCCUUCUACCUGCUCUCCCCUCUCCUCCCCACACUCUCCCUCUCCUCCCCACACUCUCCCCUCUCCUCCCCACACUCUCCCCUCUCCUCCCCACACUCCCCCCUCUUCUCCCCACA